GAGUUUGAUCUUGGCUCAGAUUGAACGCUGGCGGCAUGCCUUACACAUGCAAGUCGAACGGCAGCACGGGAGCUUGCUCCUGGUGGCGAGUGGCGAACGGGUGAGUAAUGCAUCGGAACGUAUCCUGGAGUGGGGGAUAACGUAGCGAAAGUUACGCUAAUACCGCAUAUUCUGUGAGCAGGAAAGCGGGGGACCUUCGGGCCUCGCGCUCUUGGAGCGGCCGAUGUCGGAUUAGCUAGUUGGUGAGGUAAAGGCUCACCAAGGCGACGAUCCGUAGCAGGUCUGAGAGGAUGAUCUGCCACACUGGAACUGAGACACGGUCCAGACUCCUACGGUAGGCAGCAGUGGGGAAUUUUGGACAAUGGGGGCAACCCUGAUCCAGCCAUGCCGCGUGAGUGAAGAAGGCCU
rnacentral:rRNA from 1 species